rnacentral:rRNA from 1 species
AUGGAUAUCUCCACAGUUUCUGUCCGUCCCUCCACCAUAAUCGGCCCACGCGCCGCCGCCGACUGCACCUCCCUGCGCCCCGGCUAUCCCGACUGGGUCUUACUCAACAAGACGGCGCGCAUCUCCGACCAACGGAACGCGACCACCGCCUUGUGCCGCACGAGGGAGGGCCAAGCCGUCGCGGUGUCCUUCUGGCUCGUCGACCCGCCCGCCGUCUCCUACUUCUCCGUCCACUGCCCUGGUCUGGAAGACGACGAUUUCUCCGACACCCCGCCCUUCCUUCUCUGCGCCGAGGGAGCCUUCGUCCUCUUCUGCGUCACCCUCGAUGACUCCGUCUACCACUUCGUCUACUCCGCCCGAGGAAUCCCCGGCGGGAGGCCGUCGCUGCACCGUCUCCCGGACCCGAAACCCAGGGUCGAAGCCUUCAUGAGCCAGCAAUUUGGCCUCUUGCCUUGCGGUAACGAGCACUAUGCUGUGGCAUUCCUCCAUCACCAGUGGGAAUCUAGUGACCAGGCUUGGCAUUAUUAUGCCUACAUCUUCUCCUCGGAGACAAAGGCAUGGAAGAGAAGUAAGGAGGCCUUGCUCUACAUAUCCAAGUCUGAUCAGUUACUGUUUGAUAGACAUGCCAGCUCCAAGCAGAUCACUGUCAGGGAAAGCGCAUUGGGAUGGGUUGAUCUCUUGCGUGGUAUUCUUCUUCUUAGCAACCUGUUCGACGAGCGUCCUGUCAUCACAUACAUACCGUUACCUAAAUUAAAGGCUUGCAUCACCGAUAGGAAUGGUUAUCCUUCCUACGCGCCGGAAUUCUUCUGCGAUAUAACAUGCUGCGAUGAUCUGAUCAAGUUUGUCGAGAUAAAAUUCGAUGAACCGAAUUGCAGGGCCAAUGGUAAAGCAUGGAAGGCCACCACAUGGAACAGGAAGGUCUCUUGGGAUGAUUGGGGCAGGUGCUCCACAGUUGAUGUUGCUGAAAUCUCGGUUGACCCAAGUUAUUUGUCAUUGUUGCCUGAGCUUUUGAAUGAUGAAACCAAACAGCUGGAAAUUAAGAACCUGUAUUUCCUUAACCCCACCCUGAGUGUGGACGACGACGAUCUCCUUUACAUGAUGGGCAAGGUGAACGAGGAAGACGACACAGCUUGGGUAGUCGUUGUUGACAUGAAACGUGCGGCUCUGGAGGCAUUGGUCCCGGUUUCUAUCCAACCGUCAUACACCGUUACGAUGUACUGUCCGUGCACCUUCCCCAAGUACUACCUCAAUAUAACACCAGACAUUGGCAGUCCAGUUGAGAAGGAUAAAUCCGAUAAAUGGCCGCAAGGGAGACCCAGCCCCAAUAACUCUGGAAGUGUGCAGAGGAAGAGGAGGAGGAAGAAGAAGCAGGCACGGGCUGCGGAUUGCUGGUUGGAACAGCCAUAUUUGCUGUAUUUUGUUGGCUGCGUAUUGAUUGCGAUCUUCGUAAAAGUGUUCUUUCAUCUGUCUGGAAUGUAA